GCCUCCCCGUCGUCGUCGUCCUUCUCCCUCAAGGAUAGAAACCAAGGAAAAUCAAGCAGAGGAACAGAGGAAAGAAACACAAGCAAAGAAAACUCCAACAGAGGAAGAAAGGAAAGAAACACAAGCAAAGAAAACUCCAACAGAGGAAGAAAGG